CCUCCUACUAUAUCCUAUUGUCCUGGUACACGGUAGACAUUUUCCAGGUUCCUCGCGUCAUUUCUGAAGCAAGGUUGAAUACUGCUUUGUCGUGGCCGCCGCGUCAUUCACCACCAGAUACAAAAUUUUGCAGCCUGCAACUCACCAGCAUGAGACCUCAAGUGAGUCGUCUGCCAUAAGAGGAAGGAGUUGUUGCUGUACAGUCAUAAUGAGCAAGUUCCAGCA